rnacentral:lncRNA from 1 species
AGUAAUACACUAAUCAAUAAUUUCCUUACUCAUUAUUUCUAAUCAAUAAGUUCUUCUUACAUAUGGAGAAUCGACUUCUUUGAGAGUCUUUUCAAUGAGCUUUUGGGCCUUCUUACUCAUUAAUUCUUUUCUCAUACUUUCACUUUUCUCUACCUUCUUAUAAUUCUUCUUUUUCUUCAAUGAUCUUAUUUUUGCUUUUACCUUCACCACUAAUUUGUUUAAUCCCAACAUUGUU